AGCUAUGAUUGCAGUAGUAGGAGGUACAGACCAUGUAAUAUACCAGUAAAAAAUGAGAAACAGCGCACUCCGUAUCUACUAAACUGUUAUUCUAGUGCUGAACAAUUUUGUUAGUUUUACUUAAAAACACCUAAUCUAGAUUAGAUUAGAUUAGGCAAAAAACAAUGGGGAUUUAGAUGCAUUAUAUGAUCAUACAUUGCAUAAGCCUGCCACAACGUCAAUGUAAUCCAUAUGCGGCAGGUGCCUAAUGUCUGCUAAAUGAGCUACUCACUUGGGAAAAUCCUCUCGAGUUUUCUGCAGGACAAGGCCAAAUAGGAUCCUGGGAUGAGGCACCUGUGACAGGGAGCGGUGCAGAACCAGG